AGCGGCGGACGGGUGAGUAACGCGUGGGUAACCUGCCUCAUACACAUGGAUAACAUACCGAAAGGUAUGCUAAUACAAGAUAAUAUAAGAGAUUCGCAUGGGUCUCUUAUCAAAGCUCCGGCGGUAUGAGAUGGACCCGCGUCUGAUUAGCUAGUUGGUAAGGUAACGGCUUACCAAGGCGACGAUCAGUAGCCGACCUGAGAGGGUGAUCGGCCACAUUGGAACUGAGACACGGUCCAAACUCCUACGGGAGGCAGCAGUGGGGAAUAUUGCACAAUGGGCGAAAGCCUGAUGCAGCAACGCCGCGUGAGCGAUGAAGGCCUUCGGGUCGUAAAGCUCUGUCCUCAAGGAAGAUAAUGACGGUACUUGAGGAGGAAGCCCCGGCUAACUACGUGCCAGCAGCCGCGGUAAUACGUAGGGGGCUAGCGUUAUCCGGAUUUACUGGGCGUAAAGGGUGCGUAGGUGGUUUCUUAAGUCAGGAGUGAAAGGCUACGGCUCAACCGUAGUAAGCUCUUGAAACUGGGAAACUUGAGUGCAAGAGAGGAAAGUGGAAUUCCUAGUGUAGCGGUGAAAUGCGUAGAUAUUAGGAGGAACACCAGUAGCGAAGGCGGCUUUCUGGACUGUAACUGACACUGAGGCACGAAAGCGUGGGGAGCAAACAGGAUUAGAUACCCUGGUAGUCCACGCCGUAAACGAUGAGUACUAGGUGU
rnacentral:rRNA from 1 species